UGCUAGACACCUUCAUAAAUUUAAAAACAAAAAUGUCAAAUUUUCUUUAUAAAUUUAUAGUAGAUUGUCAAUGUUUUUUUAUUAAGCAUAGUAACAGUAGUGGGAGAGUAUAUUGAAGCCCUACGGAAUUUAAUGUUGUUUUGUUUAGCCUCACUCCAUGAUACAGGCUGGCCUCAAACCUGCAGCAAUCACCAUGCCUUAGCUUUCUGAGUCUUGGGCUCAUUGGCACCUGCUAGUAUGCUUGGCUGGGGCAAGAAUGUGGAAGCCUGUAAAGAUGUCUGCCAACCUCACUGAAAGAUAUCCAAGCUAACCUUACAAACACAGGGCAGAGACACACAGGCCACUCUGUGGUUCUAGUGACAGCUCGAAACAGUAGUAACCUAAACAUCCACCAACAGAGGGAACAGAAGGCUGCUGAAUACUCUGGAAUACUGUAAAACUGCAAACAAGUGACUGAGAAAAUCACCCCCAACAUGGAACUCACAAUGAGAAAAACACAGCAAACUGUACUAAGAUAUAUACAGCAUGAGUGUCUCGUGUAACAUUUGAAAACAAACAACAGGGACAGUCCUUAUUAUUAGAAUCUGGUCUAUUCCUACACGUAAUAGAAUAUAAAAUUUUAGGUAGCAGAACCUACAUGACAUUAUUGAAAAUAGGAAAAACUAUAUUAUGUCCUUGAUUCAUUCCAAAUCUCUCUAUCCUGCAAACUGUUUAAUCACUAUUAGAUACUCACGUAACUAUCUACCUGCUUUAAGCUCUGCCAAACUGAGAAUACUGCAUAAGACUUUCCAAUGACUAUACAAUAUACACUCCUCUCACUUAUAUAGCACUGGUCAACAGACCUUGUUUUGUUUUUCAAGACAGGGUUUCUCUGUGUAGCCCUGGCUGUCCUGUGGCUUCAGAGGCAACACCUGGAAAAGCAGUACUAAUUCAACACUUUGUCUAAUUGCCAUAUUUCAUUUUCUCAUCAGACAUUUGUCAGAAUAAAUGACAAAUAAGUUAUUUAUUCAUAAGUACAUCAUACAGAUCUAGGCUCUAAGAAAUUAGCAAUAUUAACAUUGAUAGCUGUUAGCUUUUUCUCGUCUACACCGAUGCACCAAACUAAUCUGUAUAACAAACUAGUAAGGUCACUGUACUGUCUGCCUCAGAAUACACGUAUAUUUCAUAUCCAAACACACUCGCUCACAUCAGAAAGAGAAACAAUAAAUCUAUGUUAUUAUGAACUUAGGAAGCAAUUGACAUGGCUUCAAUUCUGUGCAGCAUUAAUACUUUCUUCCUGAACAGGCAAAUGCAUAAAACCAAAGAUGACAACACUAUUUCCAAAAGUCUCUUCAUAGAGAUAAUAAUGAUCUUUGACAGAUGGGAACAAAUAUAAAGACAGUUUGGGUUUCAGAAAGUCUUAGUCAAGAUCAGUCAUCCUAUUUAACUGGCUCCAAUGUAGGCUGUAGCCCAUCUAUAGUGCCAUGUAGCACACAUGUACAUCUAUAGUGCCAUGAAGAGCCCAAGGCUGAGGAUGUAAAGUCUGCCAUACCCACAAUGCCUCAGAAGCAGCAAGAUAACAAGUUAAAUACUGCUAGCAGAACACUUGGUUGUCUUUUCUUUUCUUUUUCUUGAUGAGCUAGGGUUUCUAAUAAUAUAGGCUGGCCUCAAGAUAAGGAUGACCUUGAAUAAUUCUCCAUUUCUGAAGUGCUAUGAUUAUAGCCUUGUAUCACAAUGUCCCAUCCCUACAGAGACUGUUAAAAGUAAAAACAGAAAGCAAAGACUCAAUUACCCUCCUUCCACAGUAACUGGUCAACACUGCCCUCUGGUGAUACAACGGAAUAAACAAGGCAACAUCUUUUACUUUGAUUUCAGUUAUGUACCUGCAUCUCUUUGGAUGCACAUCUCACCAAGGACAAAAAGAGAUUUAAAAUGGCCUUCAUUAUGUAUUGUUCAUAACGUUAGAAACUUCAAAAAAAGUUUGAAAUCAAAGACUCUGGAAACAUGCUAUAGAAGACACACAUCACUAUGUAGUAAAUUACAUUUCCACAUAAAACGUGAUUAAGAAAGACCCUGAAGGCAAAUGUCCUAAAGUUAAAAGCACAGGAGGACAACAAGAAAGGUCUUAUCAUGU
rnacentral:lncRNA from 1 species